rnacentral:snRNA from 1 species
GUGCUUGCUUCAGCAGCACAUACCCACAACUUGAACAAAGAUUAGCAUGGCCCCCUGCACAAGGAUGACACCCAAAUUCGUGAAGUGUUCUAUAUUUUU